rnacentral:tRNA from 1 species
GCGCCCUUAGCUCAGCUGGACAGAGCAUCGGAUUUCUAAUCCGUCGGUCGUGGGUUCGAGUCCCGCAGGGCGCACCA